UCAAAUGGAGUUGAUAAUUUUUGUGAUUAGAGAAUUUACAAUAGGAUAGGAUGUAUUGAUGGUGGAAGUAGAAAUCAAUUGUUGUUUUUCCUAAUACAAACUUUUAAAAGGGAGAAUGAAAACGUGACAUUUAAUGCAUGGAUAAAUGCUUUAGUGUAGAUAGUUGAAAAUUUCUACGAAAAAUUAAAGGAAAAAGAACUAUUUCCAUUAAUUAUAUGUUAACUCAUACCUUGUUAAACCUCUAUAGCUGCACAUACCUUGAGGGGGGAGGAGAUCACUAUUUCUCCUUCUCCCCUCUCCUUCCCUACUUUUCCCUUUCAUGUCCUCUCCUAUCCUUCCCACCCAACCUCCCCUCCCUUCCCUUCUUACCCGCCCAUCCCCUCACAUUCCCUCUCCUUUCUCUUCUUUUUUAUUUUUAUUUUUUUUGAAUAUCUAGGGUUUGAGCUUUUGAUUUGCUUGGAGACCACGCGGCUGCCUUUGCAGGUUUUGUUGGGUCGUUUUGCAGAUUUUGGGUUCCAGCUUUUGAUUCGUGUGUUUUUUGAGUUUAAUGCAUGUUGGUAAUCUUUAUUUGUAAUUUUUUAUUUGUGAGAGUUUAAAGAUUGUAGUUUGCAGUUGUAGUUCUGUGCUUUUGAGGUGCUUUUGCAAGCUUGCAACUUUUAUGUUGGAAUUUCUUUGGUCAUUUGUGUGGAGGUACAUUUGUGUGCCUGAUGUUACCUAUGGAGUCUUCCGUUAAGUGGUUAUUGCGCUUCCGUAUUUAUAAUAACCUUGUGUAGUUAUCUGUAUUUGUAUUAGUUCUUGUAAUUGACGACCUUUGUGCUUGAAUUAUAAAUACAAUCUGUCUUCUUUUUUCUUAAAAAAAAAUAUGAGAUUGGAACUUUCUCUGCCCAUCUCACUGACACCUAAGCUGAAGUUAAUG
rnacentral:lncRNA from 1 species